GGUUGACCUCGAAUCAGGUAGGACUACCCGCUGAACUUAAGCAUAUCAAUAAGCGGAG
rnacentral:rRNA from 1 species